rnacentral:sRNA from 12 species
UUUCAGAAUUAUGUUUGCAAUAACCCCGAUGAAAACGGUUGUCAACCUUUCGGGACAUGACUAUAAUGAAUGUUUAUGGAAUGAUAGUUUUAUAAGCAAGUCAACUUUGUAUUAUGAAAGUAUGCAAGAUGAGAGGAAAAUCCUCAAAUUUAGUUGUGGUGCUAAGAGUUAUCGCUUCAAAAAGCACAGAACUUAUCGCUGUGGUAAUAGACGCUUCUGUGAAGAAUAAGCCUUAUACUAACGAGUGGAAUCGCAAAGUCACUAAGGUAAUCCAAACUAACACAGUCUGUUUUGAUGUCUGAGAAAUCAGGCUAUAAGGUAAGUCGCUGGUAAAAGUAGCCAUAUGACAGUAUUGGAACUUUUCUUUAUAAGUAAUAGCAAAUAUUAUGAAUUAAUGAAGAUUUUAGAUGCUGAAUGACUGGUGAAAUUUGUGUAUAACCAAUUACACACAAGCUCUGAGAGGAAUCUACGGUAAGAAGCUAUGGGGUCGCUACUCAUAGUUCAGCCUUAUCGUCUUGGUGGCUGAAUAUUGGAGAAGAUAAUGGAGGUACGGCGAAGGUCGUAUUGCAAACAUAAUUGUGG